rnacentral:rRNA from 1 species
AAUGAACGCUGGCGGCAUGCCUUACACAUGCAAGUCGAACGGCAGCAUGACCUAGCUUGCUAGGUUGAUGGCGAGUGGCGAACGGGUGAGUAAUGCAUCGGAACGUGCCUUUUAGUGGGGGAUAACGUAGCGAAAGUUACGCUAAUACCGCAUAUUCUCUGAGGAGGAAAGCAGGGGACCUUCGGGCCUUGCGCUAGAAGAGCGGCCGAUGUCGGAUUAGCUAGUUGGUGAGGUAAAGGCUCACCAAGGCAACGAUCCGUAGCGGGUCUGAGAGGAUGAUCCGCCACACUGGGACUGAGACACGGCCCAGACUCCUACGGGAGGCAGCAGUGGGGAAUUUUGGACAAUGGGCGCAAGCCUGAUCCAGCCAUGCCGCGUGAGUGAAGAAGGCCUUCGGGUUGAAAAGCUCUUUCGGCUGGGAAGAAAUCGCACCCUCUAAUACAGGGUGUGGAUGACGGUACCAGCAUAAGAAGCACCGGCUAACUACGUG